UAAAAUAUAUGUAAAGAAUUAUUGUUCCCCGGUGGAAAAGCUAAGGUUGGUAGCACGUAAUAUUAUAUACAUACGAUUUGUUGCAUAGGCAUGGGAACAAAAGCCACACCAACAAGGGCAUGGCCACACGAAACGAUGACCUCGGAAGAAAAUGGUUAAAAUAGAAAGAGAAAUACAAAACAAUGUAUAUAGAACCGUAUACACAUUUAGUUGUAGGUAUGAAAAUUAAAUUUAAAAAUGAAACGUAAGACCUAAAAAGCUGAGAGACACGGAGAGAAGGUUGUCACGGGUGCCGACUCUCCACCAAAUCAUAGUCAUUCAGCAUCUAGUCAUGUUGCCCACACUCUCUUUCCGGGUUGUUAUUGAUUAUUGGUCUCUUUUUCCUUUGAACUUUUUAGGCAUUGAUCAAUAAUAAUAAAAAUUGACUCAUCAACUUAAACUACGCUUGUUUUGUUUCUUGGAUUAUACUUGCGGUGUAGCUAAUACAAGUAGACAACCAACUACGUAGCAGUUGUAAUGAACACAAUAUACAGCAAACUAUUUUUUAACUUGUAAUUGUUUGGGAUUAUUUAAAACGUACUUAUUUUGUUUAUGACUAACUAAAUGUUUAUUCG
rnacentral:lncRNA from 1 species